ACCAACUGCUGCUCAACCUAACUUGCCUGGUGCAGCAGUUUCACAUAGAACACACUGAGCAAUCACAGCAGCAGACAAGUUAGGUUGAGCAGCAGUUGGUCAGAUAA